UUAUUUUCUCCCUAUGGCUUAAGAGUAUACUGAGUACUAUUUAAAGCAAAGCAUUGCAAAAGAAUAGUUGCCCCACUAUUCAUUUGCAAUGCUUUGCUUUAAAUAGUACUUAAAGUAGUCAUUUUUGAAGAAAGUGAUCUUCUGUAGUUAUUUAUUAAGGCUUUAAUUUAAUUUUUUUUCAGGCUAAAACUACAAAGAAGAUUGUGCUAAGGCUUGAGUGCGUUGAGCCCAACUGCAGAUCUAAGAGAAUGCUGGCUAUUAAAAGAUGCAAGCAUUUUGAACUGGGAGGAGAUAAGAAGAGAAAGGGCCAAGUGAUCCAGUUCUAAGUGUCAUCUUUUAUUAUGAAGACAAUAAAAUCUUGAGUUUAUGUUCA
rnacentral:lncRNA from 1 species